UGGGGAAUUUUGGACAAUGGGCGCAAGCCUGAUCUAGCCAUGCCGCGUGCGGGAAGAAGGCCUUCGGGUUGUAAACCGCUUUUGUCAGGGAAGAAAUCUUCUGGGUUAAUACCUCGGGAGGAUGACGGUACCUGAAGAAUAAGCACCGGCUAACUACGUGCCAGCAGCCGCGGUAAUACGUAGGGUGCAAGCGUUAAUCGGAAUUACUGGGCGUAAAGCGUGCGCAGGCGGUUAUGCAAGACAGAUGUGAAAUCCCCGGGCUCAACCUGGGAACUGCAUUUGUGACUGCAUGGCUAGAGUGCGGCAGAGGGGGAUGGAAUUCCGCGUGUAGCAGUGAAAUGCGUAGAUAUGCGGAGGAACACCGAUGGCGAAGGCAAUCCCCUGGGCCUGCACUGACGCUCAUGCACGAAAGCGUGGGGAGCAAACAGGAUUAGAUACCCUGGUAGUCCACGCCCUAAACGAUGUCAACUGGUUGUUGGGAAGGUUCCUUCUCAGUAACGUAGCUAACGCGUGAAGUUGACCGCCUGGGGAGUACGGCCGCAAGGUUG
rnacentral:rRNA from 1 species